AUCGAUUUAAUUUUUUUAAAUUGAGGAAAAAAAGUCAUUAUACAAGUAUUAUCUUUUAUGCAAAGUUUUAAAAAAUUUCACCGAAGGGAAUUUUUAAAAUGACCUGGAAGACAAAUUUUGAGCUUUAUUCCAAGCAUGCUGCUGCCAUGACAACAGAUUUUAACACAAAAGUAGCAAUUUGCAAUGUUCAGGAGAACAUUGUCAGUGUGUCCAAUAAAUUUCGUCUUCAUGUCAUGUAAAGUGAAGAAACAGCAGUCUCCUGAAUACUAUACUGUAGUAAAUUAAAAAACCCUAGGGAGCCACCUUAAUUGACAAAUAAUUAACAUGGUUUUACAUACAACUGCACGAUUGCUGCAAAUUGUGUUUCGUUUUCAAUUCAGGUUAUCAAACUACUACGGUUUGUAAAGCUGCUGAAUAGUUCAGUGAACCUCUUAAUGCUUAUAUUAUAUUGGAGUAUCCGCAAAUGACAACAAACUACAACUCGUAGCGAGCUGUAGACAGGAUUAUUGGAUUGCAUGUUAAGAUCUCGGCUAAGUGGGAUGAAAAAAUUCAACACAAACAGUGUUUUCAAGGAUGGCUGAAAUAAGAAUGUCUUAAAAUUAAAGCUUUGUUUAAAGAUAAAAAAUAAUCUAGCUUUUCUUUCUCGCAGAUCCUGCCUGAAGGUCAUGAUUUUGUCAUAUAUAAUUGCUCCUAACUCCCACCUAACCGAGACAAUACCAAUUACUCCAAUACUUGGACCACUGGCAUUUCUAAAUUUAGUUGAUUAUAUUAUAAGCCAAAAUAGUAAAAAAAACCCAUGAAUUUUCAAGCUCAUUUGCUCACAACAGUAGCGAGAUCAUAACCUCGUCUUACCCCAGACAUCCAGUCUCAUUUUUCGUAUGAAAAAGGUUAAUUCAAUUUUCAACUUAAAGGUCAAUUUUCAUUUAAUAAAGGAGGAAAAAUCUUCAAUACCCGGCCUCGUCUCAUCCGCCUCUGAAAUAAAAGUCUUCGCGACUAUACUCGAAACGUGUAAGCUGGAAAUAGUUUUAACCUCACGAGUAAUUUCAAAAUUAGAAAUUAAAAUAAAUUGAAGCACACAAUGGGAACGUUUUCUGGUCCCGUUUUCCUCGGCAUAUGAUAAAAGUUCAAGUGGGAAAAAGAACGCUUGUGGAAGUCGAAAGUAAAGAAGUUGUAAUGAAAGAAGUAAAAACAAGAGAAAAAAAGUUGAAAAUAAAGAAGUUGUAAUGCAUGCAGUUUUACUUGUAGUAGUUUUAUAUUUGCACGCAUAAGGUACAAGUAUAUCUGCGCUAACAUGCAUGCUCAUUGUAAGCUUACGCAAAAUGCAUGGCCCAAACAAACACGACCAUGUUAAUUAUCAACUUCAUGAGGUACAAUACGGCCGGCAGAAACCAGCGCUGGACCUGGCGGAGUGAGAGAAUUCGAAAUAAAGGCGUCAAUUUCCUCAUUGCUUGGAAUGUAAGAUGACCCAAACGGCAAAGAUUUAAUGGAGAAGCAGUGGGGUGAACACCCUUCCCUACCUUUUGUCAAAGGAGGGGAGGGGGUGGGGGGUCCGUAUAUGAAGUUCAUUUUUAGAUCUAGAAAGGCAUUUACAAAAAUAGAAAUAGAAUUAAAGCAUGAUGAGAUAGUAACAUGAUUAUGAAAUUGUUAAGCAAGACCACAGACUGGUGCCUUGCUGUCAUAGCUCAACCAAUCAGAAGCUUUUUCAAUGUCGCACCAUGAGCCAUGGCCGCGUAACUCGAUAAGCAGGCUCUACCUGAGGUUGCUGGAUCCUUCCCUGCUAAAUGUCAAAUCUUCGCACGUAUUCAUCUGACCUUCGAACACUGAUCAAGCCUCUAGCACGCUCUGCAUGUGUUACGAACAAAGUUUUAAAACGCGUGGGGAGCAGGGAGAGGUAGAGGAAUGCAACGUAAUACUUUCUUCCUGUGUUCCUGUUCAUCAACUCUUGAAUACUACUUCUUAUGCAAGAACCGCAGGAACAAUUAUGGAACAACAAACAGGCAUACGGUGAAUGGAUGAAAAUAUACAUACAGGUGUCCACAGUUGAACCUUCAACGCCAUUAAUUAAACACCAUCAACAAGUGCACAAGUGCAGAGUAUCAUACCAGGACAUGACUAAGUUAUGCAUGAGGAAGCUACAGUUAAAAGUCUACAUGUCAUGUGUGGUGCAUUGGCAAAUGUAAUGUGAUUAUUGCUAUAUUGUAGACAUGAACUACAUUUUUUUUUUUUUUUUUUUUUUUUUUUUU